rnacentral:rRNA from 1 species
AGCGAACGCUGGCGGCAGGCCUAAAACAUGCAAGUCGAACGCCGUAGCAAUACGGAGUGGCAGACGGGUGAGUAACACGUGGGAACGUACCCUUUGGUUCGGAACAACACAGGGAAACUUGUGCUAAUACCGGAUAAGCCCUUACGGGGAAAGAUUUAUCGCCAAAGGAUCGGCCCGCGUCUGAUUAGCUAGUUGGCGGGGUAACGGCCCACCAAGGCGACGAUCAGUAGCCGGCCUGAGAGGGCGGACGGCCACACUGGGACUGAGACACGGCCCCAGACUCCUACGGGAGGCAGCAGUGGGGAAUUGUUCGCAAUGGGCGCAAGCCUGACGACGCAACGCCGCGUGGAGGAUGAAGGUCUUCGGAUUGUAAACUCCUGUUGAUCGGGACGAACGGGCUCCGGCCUAACACGCCGGAGUAGUGACGGUACCGAUUGAGGAAGCCACGGCUAACUCUGUGCCAGCAGCCGCGGUAAC